GGAAUUGACGGGACCCGCACAAGCGGUGGAUGAUGUGGUUUAAUUCGAUGCAACGCGAAAACCUUACCCACCUUUGACAUGGCAGGAAUCCUGAAGAGAUUUGGGAGUGCUCGAAAGAGAACCUGCACACAGGUGCUGCAUGGCUGUCGUCAGCUCGUGUCGUGAGAUGUUGGGUUAAGUCCCGCAACGAGCGCAACCCUUGCCAUUAGUUGCUACGAAAGGGCACUCUAAUGGGACUGCCGGUGACAAACCGGAGGAAGGUGGGGAUGACGUCAAGUCCUCAUGGCCCUUAUAGGUGGGGCUACACACGUCAUACAAUGGCCGGUACAGAGGGUAGCCAACCCGCGAGGGGGAGCCAAUCCCACAAAGCCGGUCGUAGUCCGGAUCGCAGUCUGCAACUCGACUGCGUGAAGUCGGAAUCGCUAGUAAUCGCGGAUCAGCAUGUCGCGGUGAAUACGUUCCCGGGUCUU
rnacentral:rRNA from 1 species